UAUAUUACUAGUGUUUAGAGCACAAAAAAUUUUGAUUUUUUAAGGAAUGGUUGAAAUCCAUUGUGUAUAA
rnacentral:tRNA from 1 species